GUGUUGGUGGUUCAGUGGUAGAAUUUUUGCCUCUCUUGCAGAAGACCCAGGUUCGAUUCCUAGCCGAUGCA